CCCCCCAAAGUGCUGGAAUUACAGGUGUGAGCCACCGUGCCCGGCCCCAUGUGUCAUUUCUUGGCAGAGCUUGGAUUAGGACUGCAUUUCAUCCAUUCCCUGUUCUUUUCCGUAUUUCCCAGUUUUCGUCUCAGUCUGGCCGCCUAUCUGUUGCAUUCUGCCCAUUGAUCUGUUUCCCUGUUGGCUUCCCUUGUUUGUGCUGUAGAAUGUUGCUCCCCGUGAUCUCUUGGGCAAACUGAUUUCCAGGGCCCAGUUUCCUCAACUGGAAAAAAAAGAGCAAUUGUGAAGAUUAAAUAAGAUGAGAUACUCAUAAGCGCUAGAUUUUGGGGGCUUUAUUUUUUCAAGUGCUAGAUUUUGGGGGCUUUAUCCUUUAUUACAGGAAGGGGGUUGUCUUCUGAAUUGUAUGAUGUUUGGCGGCUUUCCUAACCUAACGGGUACCAGCAGCAUCCCUCCCCUGAUAAGUGACUACAAAAGCGUCUCCAGACAUUGCCACCUGUCUCCCGGGCAGGGGGACAAAUUGCCCCUGGCUGAAAAGUACUGGCAAACAGUAAGCAAUUAUUAAAUACUGUUAAAGCACAGUGUUGUUAUGACGAUUUUGCAGUUACUUAAUUUAUCUGCAAAGUGUUCAUUUAGUGCUUACUGUAUGUGCUGCAGAGUGCUGAGCCCUGAGAGGCCAGUGAAAAAUGUAAGCCUGAUGUUCUUGCUUUCUAGGAGAUUAUGAUGGGGUUCACAGUCACACUCCCGAGGACGGGCUUCCGCGGUAGCUUUGAAGCUUUUGUUCCAACCUAAAUUUAGCAAAAGGACAGUUGGGAGGCUUAAUAGGCACAUCUGCGUGCUCCCAGAACUUCUCCCUGGGUUUGUGGUACCCCCUACCCUGCCCCUUUUGAUUACCAGUAAAUGCAGCAAUGGCGACAGGUAAUGACCUUGUUGGUUGGUCCUCUAGUUCCUGAUAAACCCACAACUGGGAGGGAGUGUCUCUGAAUCAGAGCAGCUGGCUCUUUGAAAAGAAAGGCACUAUUGCCUGGUUGCAGCUGCUGACCUUUGCAUUCAGAAUACCGCCCGAGGGCAAUGGGCAGGUCACCACCCUGUCACCUCUGUGCUCCUGCCUCACAGACCACAUCCUGGGAUUCUUCCCUUGCCUCAUGCGGUAGCAGGAGGAUGUCACAGUGCCUCUGCUCAGACCCACCAUCACACCUGACCUCUGGCCUUCCUGGAGCUUCCAAAGCCACUCAGCCCUGUCCUCCCAGCUCCACCUCCUGUGGGGCCAGCCCUUGGGUCUUCUCUCGCUCAUCUUGCACACAGCUGCUCUCCUUACUGUGCCCACUGCCUGGCCCCUUCUGGGACUGCUCUUUCCACGGAUCCCUCGUAGCCCCUUGACUUCCUGUAGGUCUUUGUUCACAUUUCACCUUGUAAGAGUCAGGACCCUCCUCCCCCCACCCCACCUUUCCUUCCUUCAUUUCCUUCACAGCUCUGAUCGCUAUUUUGUGGCUGUUGAGGCUGUCUCUUUUCUGUGUUCUCCAGACAGACUGUAAACUCCCUGAGAGCAGGUGAUUGGUUGGUUGUGUUCAGUGUCCUUAAAAGUGCCCAGCAUGUCCCAGACACUCAGUAAUAAUUGGCGAAUGAAUGAAUGGAUGAAUAAAUGGAUGAACAGAGGAAGGAGAAGUUACCAUGACUGUUAAAAGUUGACAAGUGCAUGCAUGCAGAGCCUUUGUUCACCAUUUUCUGGGGGGGUUGGGUCUCCGGUACCAUAGCCUGCGGGCAUGGCUGGGUGAAGUUUGGUCUAUGUUAUCGACUCUUCCUCCUCUACCUAGAGAUAAUUCUCUCCUGAGGAAUGAGCCCACCAGGGCAGACAGAGGAGAGUGUGAAGUUGACCCUUACGGAAGUCUGUGUGUGAGAGCCAAAGACUCCCACUUCCACCUCUGCCCCCACAGCAUCAUCAGUCCAGUCAAGAAAGACCGUGGUCAUUGUGUUCUGGGACUCAGUCCUAUGUUGUCUGUGUGCCUCUGCUUUUUCAGCUCCGUGUCAUGCUGUCUUCCUUCACCCUCCCCAUCGGAUGCAUGCCGAGUUGUUAAGAGGACAGAAAAUAUGUGUUCCUUUGCUGAGGCUUCUCUGUGGUUGUCUUCCACUCUGCGUCAUGCGCCGUAUCCGCUUGACACCCCGGCACGCUCUGUCACCCACGCAGCCUCUCGUUCCUCAGCCUGUGUUUCCUUGCACACUCGUGCUCUGCUGGCCUCUGUCACUCUCACUGGGCAUCCUGCCUGCCUUCCCAACCCCCUGCACGUGUCCCUGUUGGCACUUCCCUGUUCACACUCUCCUCUCCACCCAUCUUCCCUUUACACUUCCUCUUUCAAACUGUGCAGCCUUCUUCUGCUGACGGUUCAACAUGGUUCCGUUUGAAGCAGGGAACUGGUUUGGUUGGCGCUAGCUCCAAGUUUGUCUUUAUGGUAUUUCUAGCCUUCCUUGUUUUGACUACAGCCAAUAAAGGCUGGGCUCAGUGAUGAAUCCCAAUUGGGAUGGUGGACCACUGGGCCCUUCUCAGGCUAGGGGUAGUAUAGGGAGCUGUGUGAAUGAAUGAGGUCCCCAGAAAGACCAUCACACAUGGGUAGUGGGAGAAAAAAAGGGGGCUCGGGAUGCCUGUGUGGAUGGCAGGAUCCUGAAAUAUAGGAGCUUUUCUCUAAAGUACAGCAUACAUUUUAUCUUCCAACACUGUCUUAGUCAUUUUCCAAAUUCCUUGUCCCUUUUCCCUUUUACCACGAUUCCUUGAUUAACUGCAUAUGACCCUUACCCAAAUCUGCCUGAUAUCAGAGCGUGUGUGUCUAUGGGUAAGGUUUUUGGAAUCAGCAAGCACCUUUUCAUUCUUGUUUCCACUCAUCACCUUGCAGUACCUCAGUAGACACCAUCGAUUUCCAAAGCAUCUGUAGACAUGAACUGAUUCUAGAAUUUCUUUGCCCAUCACCCAUAUCCCAGAGCUAUUUCCUGGGAGAAAGAUGGCAUGCCUCCCUUUGUCCCUGGACCCUGAAGGCUGUGCCCUUUCACUGUGAACCCAAAUCUGGGCUUGUUCUGCAGCCAACCUAGAAAUUCACAACUGCGUUUUCUAUUUUAUAAGAGCUUCGUAAAGUUCUUUUCAAACUAGAAACUUCUCUUUCUUGUAAUUGUCUCUAAUGGCUGCCUUGUUGGAACAAGCCUUUGCUAGCUCCUGUCUGACCCCUUUGACUUUGCCUUUUGCCUCCUUUUAUCCUCCAGCCUUUCGUAUAGAUUCCAGAGGAAUCUUCCUCAAAGGCUGUGCCACUCCCCGUUCAAAAGCUUUCUGUGGCUCUUCAUUGCCUAGAAAGCAAAGGGGUAAGGCCAGAUAUUGUUAGCAGCUCACUAACCGCCUUCUAGGAUCUUGCUCUAAUUUCCCUUUACAACUUCAUCAAAACAGCUCACCCCCAAGCAUUGACUUCAACUGCCACUCGCAACCCCAAUCAGCAGUAUAUUCGGGCCGCGGCCAUGGGAGUUGGUUUCACAAAUGCAUGUGUUCCUUUUCUGUCUCUGAGCUGAUAACUCAUGCAGGGUCCACCGCCGCCCUCCUAGACCUACUCAUCUUUUCUGUAGAGUCCCUCUUCACUGUUCCUUCUGUUCUGUGUGAUCAGGAUUAUGUUUUUGUCUUUGGUCUUGCUGUUAUACUUCCCGCCAUUGGGUGACUCAACUAUAACAUGCCUUCUGCUGUGACUCUGUUGGAUGUUUUUGUGUGUUCAUUCAGUUCUAAGGGCAGGAUUGAUGUACUUCCCCCGUAAGUGCACGUUGGUUCCAUGCCCAUCAUAGGUGCUCAACCCGUUUUCAUUCAUUUGAAGUACUUUUACUGUUGUAUUUGUCACAAUAUUUGUUACUGUUACUUUUGUUAAUCACCAUAUCAUUGUCCUUAGUGUCUUCAUAAUGAUAUACAGUUGACAAAGUAGUUUCUUAUCCAAGGAUCUCCAUUGUGGUUCUCACUGCUGCCUGUAAAACAGUACAACCAAGACAAAAAUAAAGAGUACAAGAGUAUGGGGGUUGCACAUGAGGCUUGUAUGUUCUUGCUUAGUACUCAGACCAGUCAGGAUGCACCGUCCAGAGCUUCUGUGAGAACUUCUUUAUCCUUCUGUGCCACUUAGGACCUUUAACCUGCACCAUUUAAUAAGCUUAAAAGGAACACCACAUGCAUUUACUAUGUGGCAGCUCUGAUUCUUCUGGUGACUUUAUAAGCUGCCCUUCAACUGGGGGCAUGGAUUUGCCUUAGAAGAUCAUCUUUAAAGACACUUGCUGAGAAUGUUCACAAGUGUGUUGCCUCUUUAUGCUCACAGGUGUGCGUACUGUCUUGUUCUUUGCUUUUCUCUGCUUCACCCAGACAUUGAGGGUAAAUGGGUGAAUUUCUGUGUGGUAUGAAUUGAUAACAGUCCCUGCGAUUAUCAAGCAUGCCACUGUUCCCAGACCUGGUCACUCAUUUUAAAAUGUUGAAUAUCAAGGAAGAAGAGUAAACAAAUACAUGAAUUGAUCAUUUAUGCACUAAGAAACUUUAACCUGGAAAAAAAAAAGCCUAAAACAGAACCACCAAUUAGGUAAUCAAGAGUGCCAAGCUGGUUUGCUGUGUCCAGCUGUGUGUGCUGCCUUGUGUGUUUCAAAUAAACCACCAGUGACCACGGAAUGAAUGAAUCCUGAGCUGUGAUUGAUGUGCUUCCCAGUAGCCCGAGAUGGUUCCCUGCCUUUAUGUGCUAGUGGAAUAGCAGGGGGAAUUCCUAGCUAAAGGCUGUUUAGGGAUACAUUUUAAUGUGGUUCCAGAAGGGAGUGAAAAUAGCCCUCUCAUUUUUCUUUAUCUGAUCCUGGGGGAGCUGGGACUUUUUUUUAAACCAACUCUAUCUGUUCCUUUAAUAAUCAUCUGAAUAGCCAAACCUUCUGAGACUGUUAUGGAUAAUCCUUCUCUAAGCUGAAUCUAUUUUCCCUCAUCUGUAGAUACAUCUAUCCCUCUCCUUUUUUUUUUUUUUAAAUAAAACUGAUAAAUUA